UACAGAGGUCCCAAGCGUUGUUCGGAUUCACUGGGCGUAAAGGGUGCGUAGGUGGUGGGGUAAGUCGGAUGUGAAAUCUCCGAGCUCAACUCGGAAAUGGCAUUGGAAACUACCCUGCUAGAGGGUCGGAGGGGGGACUGGAAUGCUUGGUGUAGCAGUGAAAUGCGUAGAUAUUGGGAAGAACACCGAUGGCGAAGGCAGCCAUCUGGACCGACACUGACGCUGAGGCGCGAAAGCGUGGGGAGCAAACAGG
rnacentral:rRNA from 1 species